GCCUUAGUCAAGAUUGUGGAUCAUUUCUAUCCUUUCUUGGGUAGCUGGAUCUCUGAUCUUGGGACUCUUGGAGUUCAUGUCGCAUUUGCUGCUAUCUUUACAUUAGGCUAUGUGAUGGGAGUGCAUCACAUGGAGGAAGUUGUUGACAACCCUCUUGCUCAUUAGGCAUGGUGCUUCUGAAUUGGAGCUUUAACUGCAAGCUGAAGACAAUUAGUUCCUUGUAUAUCUUUAGUUCCCAGAAUCUGUUGCUUAACGCGCGUCGUUGAUGUAUCUAAUCCUUGUGCUUAGUUGAUGCUACUUUA